UACGUAGGGGGCGAGCGUUGUCCGGAGUUAUUGGGCGUAAAGCGCGCGCAGGCGGCUUCUUAAGUCUGAUGUGAAAGCCCACGGCUCAACCGUGGAGGGUCAUUGGAAACUGGGGAGCUUGAGUGCAGAAGAGGAGAGUGGAAUUCCACGUGUAGCGGUGAAAUGCGUAGAGAUGUGGAGGAACACCAGUGGCGAAAGCGGCUCUCUGGUCUGUAACUGACGCUGAGGCGCGAAAGCGUGGGGAGCAAACAGG
rnacentral:rRNA from 1 species